rnacentral:misc_RNA from 1 species
AAGUCGUAACAAGGUUUCCGUAGGUGAACCUGCGGAAGGAUCAUUAAUGAAAUACUAGGAUGCUCUUUUUAGAGGUCCGAACCAUUUUAUUCCACACACCGUGCACACACACUGUUUUUUACACCCCUUUUAUAACACUAUGUAUUGAAUGUAUAAAAAGUCUCUUGAUUGAGCAUAAAAUUAAUAUUAAAA